rnacentral:lncRNA from 1 species
AGAGCCGGGCCCCUGAAGGGACGGAGAGCUCCGGUGGCUGUGGAGCCUUUGUUCACCUGUUCUCCAGGGCAGCCCAUCGGAAGUGUCUCCUCUUAUUCCCGGCUAGAGACGUCCAGAGGACAAUCAGCUUCAGAUCAUACCAUCGGUAAGGUAGGUGCAACUGGGGCCUGACACACUUCAUCUCAGAAGCAAUCCAUGCUGUAAAAAAAAAAAAAAAAAAAAGUACAUGAACCGCCCCCAGUGCUUUCUGGCCUCCUCCUGUGUGCAGAGCAAAUGCUCAAAGGAAGAGACACAAGGAACUCCCCAUCCCCCUUGUUGCCAAGAUAUCCCAGAUAUCUUUGUCAGUCUGUUGCAAGGAGAAGGAACCGCGCUCUGGAAGAAACCGAAUGACCCCGUAAGACACAGACUGGAGAUUUUGCACAUGGAAGAAGAAGAGAGUUGUGGAAAAUUCUAGAAACACGCCUAGCGUUAGUUACAUUUGGACUCUCUACAAUGCAUCAGGCACUUUCUAAAUGGCAUCAUGUGGCAAACGUUGCAUUGCCCUCCGUCUGGCAGCCACGAAGGACUUUGAGGUCGUUUUCCUCUGCUUGGUUGAAAACCCGAGGGAAACCAGAUGACAAUUCAGGUGUGAUGUAUGGCGCCUCCGUGUCGUCCUGUCAUAGCUUCCGCCUCCCCACGCGGAGGGAGGCCACAAAGACAAAGCUGAGACAUUAUGGCUAUUCCAGAAAAUAAAAUAUUUUUGAAACCGCACGGCGUAGAUACAGAUCUUUGUGUCAUUGUGGUAACACAAGUGUGGCAACCGUGCCCGCCAGCACGGUAGCGCUUGGGACACGCAGAGAGAGGGUUCAGUGUCCCUGCAGACGGGCCAGGGCAGGAAGGCGUUGAUCACAUGAGGCUGGCAUCGUCUAGUCUCUGCGUGCUUUGCAGAAUGAGACACCUCCCGAGUGCUUCUGAUAGGUGUGAAAGGGUGUUGUUUCUAUUAAAACAACCAGGAUGAAAAAGCAACGGC